rnacentral:pre_miRNA from 1 species
GAUUUCAAUUGAAAAAGUCAUCAACAACAAAGUUGAAUAACUCAUCAAGAUCUAAAACUUUUAUUUUUGUUAUUUCUUCAUCUGACGAAAUGUUAGUAAUAUUAUUCACAAAUUUUACAUAUAUGUGUUAUAGUUUAUAAAAAACCAGAUAAGAGAUAUGUCAAUUUUGUGAACAAUGUUACUAUCACUUUGUCGUAUGAAGAAAUGACCAAAAUAAAAGUUUUAGAUCUUGAUGAGUUAUUCAACUUUGUUGUUGAUGACUUUUUCAGUUGAUAUC